CCUCGGAUCAGGUAGGGAUACCC
rnacentral:rRNA from 2 species